rnacentral:rRNA from 1 species
CUGGCUCAGGAUGAACGCUGGCGGUAUGCUUAACACAUGCAAGUCGAACGGGGGGCUUAGGCCCCUAGUGGCGGACGGGUGAGUAACGCGUGAGAAUCUGCCUUCAGGUCGGGGACAACAGCUGGAAACGGCUGCUAAUACCGGAUGUGCCGAGAGGUGAAAGCUUUAGCGCCUGAAGAUGAGCUCGCGUCUGAUUAGCUAGUUGGUGGGGUAAGAGCCUACCAAGGCGACGAUCAGUAGCUGGUCUGAGAGGAUGAUCAGCCACACUGGGACUGAGACACGGCCCAGACUCCUACGGGAGGCAGCAGUGGGGAAUUUUCCGCAAUGGGCGAAAGCCUGACGGAGCAAUACCGCGUGAGGGAGGAAGGCCCUUGGGGUUGUAAACCUCUUUUGAUCAGGGAAGAAGGGACUGACGGGUACUGAUCGAAUCAGCAUCGGGCUAACUCCGUGCCAGCCGCCGCGUACGU